UACGUAGGGGGCUAGCGUUGUCCGGAAUCAUUGGGCGUAAAGCGCGUGUAGGCGGUCCGGUAAGUCCGCUGUGAAAGUCGGGGGCUCAACCCUCGAAUGCCGGUGGAUACUGUCGGGCUAGAGUGCGGAAGAGGCGAGUGGAACUCCUGGUGUAGCGGUGGAAUGCGCAGAUAUCAGGAAGAACACCAACGGCGAAGGCAGCUCGCUGGGACGGUACUGACGCUGAGACGCGAAAGCGUGGGGAGCGAACAGG
rnacentral:rRNA from 1 species